CAGUGUUGUUGCAGAUGUAAUAAAAAUGAGGUUAUAAUACAUUAGAGUAAGCCCUUAACUCAAAACGAUUGAUGCCCUUAUAAGAAGAUGACCAUGCGAAGACACAGACACACAGAGAAAACACCAUGUGGUGACUGAAGCAGAGAUUGGUGUAAUGCAGCUACAAAUCAACAAGCAACUAUGAUUGAUGGCCACCACCAGAGGCUAGGAAGAGGAGAGAAAAAUAUAUAUAUCUCAGGAAAGAAAAAAUCCAGCACCUACGGCAUAAUGUUAGGAGAGAACGCGCCAACAAAAUCUAACUUCCACAAUAAAUCUGUUCUGUCAGCUCCUUGACAGGCAUGUUUAUGUUGACCUCUUUCUGUUUGAAGAGAGAGGAAAGAAACUGGUGUUGAUCAAAGGUUACAGCAGAAUAAAAAAUAUACUGGGACACGAAAUUGUGACAUGUAUUUCCCCCACCAGUCAGGACUCUAUGUUCAAUAUUUUUAUUUCAUUAUGCUUACAAAAGCAAAUGAAUGUCUCUUUAUAUUUCCUUAAGAAUGAAAAGAUGAAUGUUUCUUUCUUUGCAAGUUCCAUGGAAGCUAGCAACAUUAAUACUAUAAACAUUUUAAUACUUGAUAAUGGUUAUGUCUUCAAAAUGCAAAACGUUUUAUUCUGACAAAUAAAAACUCUAAAAAAA